rnacentral:rRNA from 1 species
AGUGAACGCUGGCGGCAGGCCUAAUACAUGCAAGUCGAACGGCAGCACAGUGGAGCUUGCUCCAUUGGUGGCGAGUGGCGGACGGGUGAGGAAUACAUGGGAAUCUGCCCAGUCGUGGGGGAUAACGUAGGGAAACUUACGCUAAUACCGCAUGCGCCCUUCGGGGGAAAGCCGGGGACCUUCGGGCCUGGCGCGAUUGGAUGAGCCCAUGUUCGAUUAGCUAGUUGGCGGGGUAAAGGCCCACCAAGGCGACGAUCGAUAGCUGGUCUGAGAGGAUGAUCAGCCACACUGGGACUGAGACACGGCCCAGACUCCUACGGGAGGUAGCAGUAGGGAAUAUUGGACAAUGGGCGCAAGCCUGAUCCAGCCAUGCCGCGUGAGUGAAGAAGGCCCUCGGGUUGUAAAGCUCUUUUGUCCGGGAAGAAAAGCAUCGGGCUAAUACCUCGGUGUUCUGACGGUACCGGAAGAAUAAGCACCGGCUAACUUCGUG